rnacentral:rRNA from 1 species
CCUACGGGAGGCAGCAGUGGGGAAUAUUGCACAAUGGGCGAAAGCCUGAUGCAGCAACGCCGCGUGAGCGAUGAAGGCCUUCGGGUCGUAAAGCUCUGUCCUCAAGGAAGAUAAUGACGGUACUUGAGGAGGAAGCCCCGGCUAACUACGUGCCAGCAGCCGCGGUAAUACGUAGGGGGCUAGCGUUAUCCGGAAUUACUGGGCGUAAAGGGUGCGUAGGUGGUUUCUUAAGUCAGAGGUGAAAGGCUACGGCUCAACCGUAGUAAGCCUUUGAAACUGUUUUUCUUGAGUACCGGAGAGGUCAUCGGAAUUCCUUGUGUAGCGGUGAAAUGCGUAGAUAUAAGGAAGAACACCAGUGGCGAAGGCGGAUGACUGGACGGCAACUGACGGUGAGGCGCGAAAGCGUGGGGAGCAAACAGGAUUAGAUACCCCGGUAGUC